CAAUAGCGUAUAUUAACGUUGUUGCAGUUAAAAAGCUCGUAGUUGGAUUUCUGGAGGGAGCGUCGGCCCGUACUUACGAGUGCGUGACGUCUCUGUCCAUCCUUGCGGGAAGGCACGGCAUUGAUUUGUUGUGUCGGAUCGCAUCAUUUACUGUGAAAAAAUUAGAGUGUUCAAAGCAGGCUUUCGCUUGAAUACAUUAGCAUGGAAUAAUAAGAUAGGACUUUGGUGCUAUUUUGUUGGUUGAGCCUAAAGUAAUGAUUAAUAGGGAUAGUUGGGGGCACCUGUAUUGCGUUGUCAGAGGUGAAAUUCUUGGAUUUACGCAAGACAAACAGCUGCGAAAGCGUCUGCCAAGGAUGUUUUCAUUAA
rnacentral:rRNA from 1 species